rnacentral:tRNA from 1 species
CGGGGCGUAGCGCAGCCUGGUAGCGCACCUGCCUUGGGCGCAGGGGGUCGCCGGUUCGAAUCCGGCCGCCCCGACCA